rnacentral:rRNA from 1 species
AGCAGUAGCCGCGGUAAUGCGGAGGGGGCUAGCGUUGUUCGGAAUUACUGGGCGUAAAGCGCACGUAGGCGGCUUGGUAAGUUAGAGGUGAAAGCCCGGAGCUCAACUCCGGAAUUGCCUUUAAGACUGCCGAGCUAGUAGGUGAGAGAGGUAAGUGGAAUUCCGAGUGUAGAGGUGAAGUUCGUAGAUAUUCGGAAGAACACCAGUGGCGAAGGCGGCUUACUGGCUCAUUCUAGACGCUGAGGUGCGAAAGCGUGGGGAGCAAACAGGAUUAGAUACCCCCGUAGUCCCUGUCUCUUAUAC